CGAAAGAGCAGAAAAAAGCAACACAGGAUAGAGACAAGCAAUUUCAUUUGAAAUUGAUCAAUCGUGGCGAUACGACUGAACGUUGGAAGAUCUUUAAAAGCAUCUUUUGAACAGACAAAGAAAGAGGUGUGGCUAAUAUACUAAUCGGGCUAAUGUGUUAGACCAGCAAGCUCUGAACCUACGAACAGUCAUCAGCCGCCUGUCUUCUGUGUCGGAAGGAAGAAACAUACCUGGUCAGGUAUCAGGAACUGGAGAGAUCACAUCUGACUUGGAAGUUGUGCUUGUGCAUGCCAACAAUUGGACAGUGGUGCCGGUCAAAGCAAAGAAAGAAUAGGUAAACAGGUUCACUCCAUGAUAGCAUCCAAGAAUGUGCACUAAGUACAUUGAUAUCAACAAGGAAACCCACUUGUUACUAAUUUCAUUGUUGAUCCAGCUGAUCCAGAGCUGAUGCCUCUACAAUAGCCCCUCAUCCACACCCUGCAGCUGCGGAUAAUACAAGAGAGCAAAGAUCAAUGGCAAGCAAGCGGGAGGCAAUUGGUAGAUUCACUAAAUGAGUAAAUAGACAAGACAAGACAAGACAUAUUUAUUCAGACUUGCACAGUGCACAUCGUCUAAACACUAUAAAUUUCACAAUCAAAUAUAUCACAGAAAUAAACAUAGUGAAAAUGUAAA